rnacentral:rRNA from 1 species
UACGAAGGGGGCUAGCGUUGCUCGGAAUCACUGGGCGUAAAGGGUGCGUAGGCGGGCUUUUAAGUCAGGGGUGAAAUCCUGGAGCUCAACUCCAGAACUGCCUUUGAUACUGAAGAUCUUGAGUCCGGGAGAGGUGAGUGGAACUGCGAGUGUAGAGGUGAAAUUCGUAGAUAUUCGCAAGAACACCAGUGGCGAAGGCGGCUCACUGGCCCGGUACUGACGCUGAGGCACGAAGGCGUGGGGAGCAAACAGG